GUUUUAAUAAUUUAAAAAAAAUACUGGUCUUGUAAAUCAGAAAUAGGAAAAUCUCCUUUAAAACA
rnacentral:tRNA from 1 species